AGCGACGAGUUCAAGAACGACUGGAUGUCCUGUGGUCUGCCGGGAGGCCUACCGAUCAUGUUCUCUUUCGAUGAGAAGGUUGAUCUUCCAGUGAGCAUAACUUAGUUCUAUCACUAGACCCAAUCAAUCAUCAACCGUCUGGUGACUCUGGUCCCUCCCUUACUCUGUCACCAGAAUUUUGUCGCCAUCACCGGUGAACCCGCAGCUAUUGUCGCUCUUCAGGCUGAAUCCCUUAUCAACCCCGCUAUCACUGGAAGUAACCGCUUUCCACCGUUGCGGGCUCGACGGCGACCUUCGAGAUACCUUCACAUCCGAGCCAACGUCCGAACCAGGCCUUACGUUUGAACCACGGCAUUGCGCUCCUCAAAAAAACUCCCGUCUUCCUGCCUAUCGCUCUUCGUACUCGACCGCAAGCCUCUUCUGUCUCCUCCUGAGGGCCCGUUGUGGGUACUUGAAACGUAUUUGAAGCACAACAACGAUGGCGGAAAAUCACACCAUGCCGCAAUUGACAGCGCAAGGUGUACAUCCGCCUCUUCCAAGCCCUAGCUUCACGCUUAUACCAGCAUCUCCUUCUAGGCUGGAGACAUCUAUCCACUCCGAAGAGGCACCUUCAGAGACAACAUUGGUUCAAGAAGCCCUCCCUCAAACUCCACAAAAAGCGUUGCAAACAUACCUUCAUAGCUUUGACCUAGAGCAGCAGAGUUAUGACUCCCAAGACGGCACGGGUAGCUUCCAGGGACUCUACUAGUGGCAGAAAGAAACGGACAGUGACAUAGGAGCGCCAAAGCCAAACUUGCGGACCAUUGCAGACGUAUGCUGCAGCAUAUUUCUGAUCCUGAUGGCGCUAUUGGGUAUUGUGAUAUUCUUCUACUUUCUUUCUGGACGUUAUUUCCACCCGUGAUGCCGGAAAGCUACCAGUUGGAACAACGCUGCGUUGGUUCUGUUCUGUUGGACAAUGGGUAUCGGGGUCACAGCACACAAACCUGAUGCGAGGUAAUACUCGAGUCGCGGUUAUAUCUCUACCUAAUAGACCUAAGUAAUAGUAAUCGACGUUAUUCGCUGC